GCUUGGAUAGCUCAGUUGGCUAGAGCACAGUGCUGACAAUGCUAAGGUUGCAGGUUUGAUCCCCAUAUGGGACA